rnacentral:rRNA from 1 species
GGAUUAACGCUGGCGGCGUGCAUAACACAUGCAAGUCGAACGAUGAAACUUUAAUGAACCCUUCGGGGAGAAUUAAAGCGGAUUAGUGGCGAACGGGUGAGUAACGCGUGAGUAACCUGCCUUACACAAGGGGAUAGCCUUUGGAAACGAAGAAUAAUACCCUAUAAAACCAUAAAAGCACAUGCAAUUAUGGUCAAAGUGAUAGCGGUGUAAGAUGGACUUGCGUCUGAUUAGCUAGUUGGUGAGAUAAAAGCCCACCAAGGCAACGAUCAGUAGCCGGCUUGAGAGAGUGUACGGCCACAUUGGGACUGGGACACGGCCCAGACUCCUACGGGAGGCAGCAGUGGGGAAUUUUGCACAAUGGGGGAAACCCUGAUGCAGCGACGCCGCGUGAUUUAGAAGGCCUUCGGGUUGUAAAAAUCUUUUGUAUAGGAAGAAAAUGACAGUACUAUACGAAUAAGGUCCGGCUAAUUACGUG